rnacentral:rRNA from 1 species
UGCGUAGGCGGUUAUUUAAGUCAGAUGUGAAAUCCCCGGGCUUAACUCGGGUGGUGCAUUUGAAACUGGGUAACUAGAGUGCAGGAGAGGGAAGCGGAAUUCCUAGUGUAGCGGUGAAAUGCGUAGAUAUUAGGAGGAACACCAGUGGCGAAGGCGGCUUUCUGGACUGUAACUGACGCUGAGGCACGAAAGCGUGGGGAGCAAACA